GUAACACGUAGUCAACAUGCCCAGGGGACGUGGAUAACCUCGGGAAACUGAGGAUAAACCGCGAUAGGUCACUACUUCUGGAAUGGGUAAUGACUCAAACCUAUAUGGCCCCUGGAUUGGACUGCGGCCGAUCAGGCUGUUGGUGAGGUAAUGGCCCACCAAACCUGUAACCGGUACGGGCUCUGAGAGGAGGAGCCCGGAGAUGGGCACUGAGACAAGGGCCCAGGCCCUAUGGGGCGCAGCAGGCGCGAAACCUCUGCAAUAGGCGAAAGCCUGACAGGGUUACUCUGAGUGAUCUCCGUUAAGGAGAUCUUUUGGCACCUCUAAAAAUGGUGCAGAAUAAGGGGUGGGCAAGUCUGGUGUCAGCCGCUGCGGUAAUACCAGCACCCCGAGUGGUCGGGACGUUUAUUGGGCCUAAAGCAUCCGUAGCCGGUUCUACAAGUCUUCCGUUAAAUCCAGCUGCUUAACAGAUGGGCUGCGGAAGAUACUAUGGAGCU
rnacentral:rRNA from 1 species